CCUACGGGAGGCAGCAGUGGGGAAUAUUGGACAAUGGGCGAAAGCCUGAUCCAGCAAUGCCGCGUGAGUGAUGAAGGCCUUAGGGUUGUAAAGCUCUUUUACCAGGGAUGAUAAUGACAGUACCUGGAGAAUAAGCUCCGGCUAACUCCGUGCCAGCAGCCGCGGUAAUACGGAGGGAGCUAGCGUUAUUCGGAAUUACUGGGCGUAAAGCGUACGUAGGCGGUUAUUCAAGUCAGAGGUGAAAGCCCGGGGCUCAACCCCGGAACUGCCUUUGAAACUAGAUAACUAGAGUCUUGGAGAGGUUAGUGGAAUUCCGAGUGUAGAGGUGAAAUUCGUAGAUAUUCGGAAGAACACCAGUGGCGAAGGCGACUAACUGGACAAGUACUGACGCUGAGGUACGAAAGCGUGGGGAGCAAACAGGAUUAGAUACCCUGGUAGUCCACGCCGUAAACGAUGAUAACUAGCUGUCCGGGCACUUGGUGCCUGGGUGGCGCAGCUAACGCAUUAAGUUAUCCGCCUGGGGAUACGGUCGCAAGAUUAAAACUUAAAGAUAUAGCGNGNGAGNGCGACGACGACGACGACGGAGGAGAG
rnacentral:rRNA from 1 species